rnacentral:rRNA from 1 species
UACGGAGGGUGCGAGCGUUGUCCGGAAUCACUGGGCGUAAAGGGCGCGUAGGUGGCGGAGCAAGUCAACGGUGAAAGCUCGACGCUCAACGUCGAGUCGGCCGUCGAUACUGCUUUGCUCGAGCACUGUAGAGGCAGAUGGAAUUCCGGGUGUAGCGGUGGAAUGCGUAGAGAUCCGGAAGAACACCGGUGGCGAAGGCGGUCUGCUGGGCAGUUGCUGACACUGGACGCUCAUGCACGAAGCGUGGGGAGCAAACAGG